rnacentral:pre_miRNA from 1 species
UCCCCAUGACAUUUAGUGAUGAUGUGUCUGUUUUUUUAUCAAUUAAUGUGUGCCACGUGUGUAAUUCCAUUUUUUAAAAAAUAAAAAAAUGGUAUUUUUCAGAUUUUCAGCACUAAAUUCUAUUGUUGGUCACGUGCCUCCUUCUCUCAAAAUCUGAAAAAUACAAUUUUUUUAUUUUUUUAAAAAAUAAAAUUAUACACGUGGCACACAUUAAUUGAUAAAAAACAGACACAUAAGCAUUAAAUGUCAUGGGGA